UACGUAGGGGGCAAGCGUUGUCUGGAUUCAUUGGGCGUAAAGAGCGUGUAGGCGGCCAGGUAGGUCGGUUGUGAAAACUGGAGGCUCAACCUUCAGACGUCGACCGAAACCAUCUGGCUAGAGUCCGGGAGAGGAGAGUGGAAUUCCUGGUGUAGCGGUGAAAUGCGUAGAUAUCAGGAGGAACACCUGUGGCGAAAGCGGCUCACUGGACCACAACUGACGCUGAGGCGCGAAAGCUAGGGGAGCAAACAGG
rnacentral:rRNA from 1 species